CUUGGUCAUUUAGAGGAAGUAAAAGUCGUAACAAGGUUUCCGUAGGUGAACCUGCGGAAGGAUCAUUAUUGUUUUUGAUUUUGAUUGAUUAGUUUGGAUAUAAGGACCUGCGCUUAACUGCGCGGUCUGUCCAAGGCUAAUUCAUUCUUAAUUAUAUUACACUUUGUUUUUGUUUGGUCUUCGGAUCUUUAUUAAACUCUCAGAUUUAUAUCUGAAUGUAUUUUAUUAUCUUUUAUUCAACUUUUAAAUUAAUAAUUUAAAACUUUCAGCAACGGAUCUCUUGGUUCUCGCAUCGAUGAAGAACGCAGCGAAUUGCGAUAAGUAUUGUGAAUUGCAGAUUUUCGUGAAUCAUCGAAUCUUUGAACGCAUAUUGCACUCUAUAGUAUUCUGUAGAGUAUGCUUGUUUGAGCGUCAUUUCAUUCUUAAACCUCUAGGUUUAGUAUUGGAGGAUGUAAUUCUUUAUGGAUAACUCUUCUGAAAUGACUUGGCAUCUUUACCUUGUGUAAAUCUAAGCUUGUAUGAACUUAUUAUUAGGUCUAACCAACUAAUGAGUACUCAUCUGGCGUCUUACCCAAGGGUUUAUUAAAGUGCCUAACAAAAUUUAUCAUUAAUUUUGACCUCAAAUCAAGUAAGGAUACCCACUGAACUUAAGCAUAUCAAUAAGCGGAGGA
rnacentral:rRNA from 1 species